CUUAGCGCUAAGAUCGCUUUGUUGAACAGGGCCCUGAACGUUUCCCCUAUUGUAUACACGAGUGUGGUACUUGCAGCUCAGAAAUGUCCUCGAAAACAAAAGUAUAAUGAAUUAAAAUUAAAAUAUAAUUAUCUUAAUUACUUCAUCACAUAUUUGUGAAAUGCAUUGUUUUUUGUUAUUAAGUCCAAAAGUAGUAUUCAUGUGAUUCUCGGCGAUAAAGUCAUAUAAUGUAGGUUAAUCCUUUUAUGAUAGCUGUAAGAACAUACUGAUAUUUACUGUGAAUCAGUGUAAAGAGAUUAGUUAAGACAUCUUUCGAUGCAAUAAUUAUAUUUCCAUGUUAAUUUCCAUCUCUCAACUAUGGAAUACUGUAAGGGUAAUCAGCGUUCCUGAGAUUUUUUAAUCAAGCACGUUUUACAUUGAAACCGGUUCCCAAAAGUUGAGAUUUUAAACACGCGAAAAGGGGAACAUGAUCCUUGCAGUACUCCAUACUGAGCAAAGUUAAAUGUUAACAAAACAAAAUAAGACCUUCUUUAAACAACUAUGUCGAUAAUCUGACAGAGUAAAGUGUUGAUUUCCAUGUCUAUACAAUAAUAAACGACCAAAAAGAUCUGUCAUAAUAAUUUCUCUUCCCCAGCCAUCUGCAUUCCGCCUUGCCUCCAUGGUGGCAAGUGUAAAAGGUUUAACGUGUGUAAAUGUGGAUACGGUUACACAGGGGAGAGGUGUGAACGAGCUUCCUGUCGCCCUAAGUGUAUGAACGGAGCGAAGUGUGUGGGUCCGGACCGGUGCUCCUGUCCCUCAGGAUGGUCAGGAAGGAGAUGUGACAAAGCUGUGUGUCAUCUGUCGUGCCAGAAUGGAGGAGUGUGCUUCAAGCCAGACAUCUGCGUCUGUAGGCGGGGGUACGCCGGGGCCAGCUGCCAGAAACCGUUAUGUUGGCCCCGAUGUCGUCACGGGGGUCGGUGCAUUGCCCCGCAGACAUGUCGCUGUAGACGGGGUUUCAGAGGACGUUUCUGUCAGCGGAGACUAAGAUGGGGAUGAGGACAGAAAAAACGCACCUGCCUAGCUACUUCUAUUACUACAGAUAACCUCACGUGAUGACGUAGCAAGAUGAAGUAACCUUGCAUGUCAUUGGUCGAAAAAUCUUCAGAGCACCAAUCGCAGUUGAAGUUGCUUGGGCGCGUCAUUUGAAAAUGGCGUUCUACUAAUUUCAAAGACACGCGACGUUCCAGACCUGUCUUGUACUAAUGCUAAUUACAAACCAUGUUCCGAUUCUGUGUAUAUUUGGCACCAAACUCAAGUGCCCCUUUUUUGCUGAUAAUCCUUAAGGUGCUAUACAUGUAUGUUCAGACAGUAUUAGAUAGUGUGUCGCCUCUGUGUUAGUAUUUAGUUAUCAGGACGUAGAUCUGUGAACAUUAUGCUUGCGCUGUUAAUAUGUAUAUAAGAACUUCAAUCUAUUUGUAUGUUUCGUAAUAUUGCAUGUACAUUCAAAAGAAGGGAGCGGGUGGUCCAGUCGUCUACGGCGCCGCAAUUCACAUGCAAAGUUACCUCCCUUUCGCUUAUGACGAUCCUAUCAAGGAUCGUGCCUUCGAGUUUCAGAUUCGCCUCAUUUAUAUUCCCUUGUUACAACACAGUACCCGUGAUUGGUUCGAAAAAUCGGUUUUCGACAAUCUGCGUCUCUUUGGGCUUUACUUCAUCAUGAACUGGUACAUCGUGAUACUAGUGAAAUACUGUUCAAAGCGGCUUUGUUAUAUGGGAUGAGACACUGUGUCCAGCAAAUAUGUAGUCCUAUUUGGGGUGUCUUUUGAGACAUUAGGCUUGUAAAGGUUAACAGUGCUCAGUCAUUCCAUCCUUUUCAGGUUGUAAACGAAUUCCUUGAAGUGGCACUAGGAUCGUACCACCUGGUAGUCUUUAGUGUCAUUGAAAGGUUUAUCACAAUCCGGAGACAAGUGUUCUUGUCGUCUAAGACGCAGCGAUUCACUGUUCAGACGUCCGUGCCAAGUUCGAAUUCAAGAUCCAAUCAGAUUAUGUUUCUUGGUUACCGUGCACGUGGGUUUCACAAAAGUGGUAAAUGUCUGAGACCUGCAUCAUUUCGGACUUUCCCCUCACAUUAAGCUGGCACGCUGUCAUACAGCUGAAAUACUGUUCAAUGCGGCAUUAAACCAAACUCCCUUAGGAAUAUCCUAAUGACACGGAGACGAUGUACCAGGACCGCACAAUUAGUUCAAAGAAACUGGCAAUGAGCAAAACACUUUGGAGCCUAGUACCUCUUUGAUUGUUUCCUGUGUAACCUCAUUUAUUAGUCUUACAGCUAAUAUUGACAUUAAAAUGCGUAUGCUCCAGUGCUUUUUGUACCAUAAUCAUAAUGUCAUUCAUCUGUCUUCUGUGUCAUUCCUGUUCACGUGUCCAUAGUCUACUUCAGGCCUUUACAACAGUACCAGCAACCCUAGCUGCAACCAUGUGGAUCGUCUUCAAUGAAGCUUGGUUGGCCCAGUGGGCACGGUGUUCGCUGUGCAGAGCUGCGUCCUCUAAGUGUUAGGACUCGCUGAUCGUGGGUUUGAAUCUCAUGUUCUUCCCGAUCGUUGGUCUGUCAGCUCCCUACCGGUGCCCGUUUAUUUCCCCAAAGGGGUAAACGACAACGGUCUGUGCUUGCGUCCAAGCUUACAUGCCGUGAUAUAACUGAAACACUGUUUAAGUCGGACCUGAACCAACUCACUCACUCAUCCAGCUUCUGAUAUGAAUGUAAUGACACCUCAGCAUAGGGCUAAAAACAGAAUGUGACUUGAACAUCGUAACGGUGAGCCUCCAUGUCUUGUUUUGUAUACGGUCAGGGAAUUUGCGGUGUUUUAUUCGCGUUAUGAUAUUACUCAUUCAAUUAUAAUAAUUAUGCAUUAAAUUUAGUUAUUAGUGCCGAUAUUGUGCAUCUUGAUGCUUGAAAAUAGACUCACCGAUGACGUUGAAAUAAUCGCAUACUAAGAAACAUUUUGUGAGUUCUUCUCAGAUUGUUUUUUGUUCUCAGAUUAUGUUUUUAGCUCUGGAGCUGUCUGAUGCACUUUUCAUCAAAUUCAACCUUUAAAAAUGAAUCCCAAUAAAACACACUAAUCUAAGCAAUCUAGAGAACAUUUGUUUCGGACAGUAGUGUAUCUGCUCAAAACGUUCAGAACUUUAUCUAAAAUAUCGAUGUUUAAUUUCCUUAGUUUUAUGAUUGUAAAUAUCAGUUAUUUUGAGUCCUGUUCCUUGUCCCUUGCUCCAGACUGUUACAAGCCAUUUCACGGUCAGGUAAAACGGAUACAUGUUACUUUGUUAGACAUAUUAAUGACAAGCUAAGCUGCUGAUUUGCAUAAUGGCAUACACGCAAGUAGGCCUUGUCCAAUGUUUUACAUGACUUUGUUUAAAAAACAUACUUGUGUUAGAAGUAUUAGGAGUCUAAUAAAGCGUUAUUUCUUGACACCCAGUGUGUAUAUCUGCAUUCACACACUUGUAAAUUGACAAAAAGUCCUUAAUUUAUAUAUGUGAUUAAAUUUAUCUUUAUCGA
rnacentral:misc_RNA from 1 species